rnacentral:misc_RNA from 1 species
AGUCAUUACCUCAACCGCAAGGAGGGGGAUGCCUAAGGCAGGGCUAGUGACUGGGGUGAAGUCGUAACAAGGUAGCCGUACCGGAAGGUGUGGCUGGAUCACCUCCUUAAAGGGAGACCUAAUUCGGGUAGGAGACGAAAAAAAAGUAGUCGCUACCAAGAAUCAAUCCCAAAAGGUCGGAGCGAGGCAAGAUUGGCUUUCAAACUAGGUUCUGGGUUCACACAAGACCUGAAUCAGGAACAAGGGCUAUUAGCUCAGGUGGUUAGAGCGCACCCCUGAUAAGGGUGAGGUCCCUGGUUCGAGUCCAGGAUGGCCCACCUGCACAGGUGGAAGAAAGAAAAAAAGCUCCGAAUCAGCACCUUAUCUUACUUAUAUAGUAAGAGAGAAUGCUGGCUCUGAGUUCAGAGUCCAGAGGAACCUUGAAAACUGCAUAGAGCUAGGUGAAAAAGCCAAAAAAGAAGACCGCCAG